GGUCACUGGACCUCUCCGUCGCCACACGAAGUCAUCAAAAAUCUCCACCCGUCCUCCCUAGUUCGACUCCUGCAGCUCUCUCACCCUACAAUCUCCUUUGGAAAUCUCUUAUUGACCCUGCUCCUGCACAGCCACGCAAAGAUUUCUGAGAAGAUCACCGAAUUUGGUCGUGCCUCUUACGCGGUCAAAAGCAGCACAAGCUGACUGGUGCGCCCAAAGAAAUGGGGAUGAAAUGGCACGUCGUCGCGGCGCUGGUCGUGGCCUGCACUCUCGCCGCCGCCGUCGCCGCAGACAGGGGGCUCUCGUUCGCCGGCGGCGCCACGCCACCGGGGGAAGCGAGCUACCUGCGCAAGCUGGCCAACUCCCUCUGGCAGAGUGACGGGACCAGCUACCACCACGUGUGGCCGCCAUUAAAACUUGGGUGGAAAAUUGUCUUGGGGUCAUUCAUUGGAUUCUUUGGAGCAGCGUUCGGCAGCAUCGGCGGCGUAGGUGGCGGUGGGGUCUUCGUUCCGAUGCUGACCUUGAUCAUUGGCUUUGACCCCAAGUCGUCUGCUGCGAUGUCAAAAUGUAUGAUCAUGGGGGCCGCUGUGUCAACCGUGUACUGCAACGUCAAGCUGAAGCACCCAACAUUGGACAUGCCAGUGAUAGACUAUGAUCUAGCCCUGCUCAUACAGCCCAUGCUCAUGCUAGGGGUCAGCAUUGGUGUUAUCUGCAAUGUGAUAUUCCCUGACUGGCUUGUCACAGUCCUCUUGAUCAUUCUCUUCAUAGUUACUUCAACUAAAGCUUUUCUGAAGGCUGUCGAAACAUGGAAGAAAGAGACGAUAACCAUAGCGGUGGCAACAAAACGAUCAGAGGAAACCAGUGAAGAACAGGAGUACAUGCAGCUGUCUGCAGGACUUGACGCCGCAUCUCAGUCUGAAAUUCUGUCAGAUCAUGAUCAAAAUGAAACCCCGCCAGAUGAAGCGGUAUCCAUUUGGAAGAAUGUUUACUGGAAGGAGGUUGGCCUCCUUGGCUUUGUCUGGGUAGCAUUCCUUGCGCUUCAGCUCGCUAAGAACUACAUGGCAACUUGCUCCAUCUCGUACUGGGUUCUGAACUUACUCCAGAUCCCAGUGUCAGUUGGGGUGGCGAUGUACGAGGCAGUAGGUUUGAUGCAGGGGAGGAGGGUGAUAUCAUCAAAGAGGAAUGAAGAGAACAGCCUGAGAGCUCAUCAGCUGUUGGUAUACUGCUUCUUGGGCGUCACGGCUGGUGUCGUCGCCGGUCUUCUUGGCGUCGGUGGGGGCUCCAUCAUGGGGCCUCUCUUCUUGGAGCUCGGUGUCCCACCGCAAGUCGCAAGUGCUACAGCCACCUUCGCGAUGAUGUUCUCAGCUUCCAUGUCCGUCGUAGAGUACUACCUCCUGAACCGGUUCCCUGUGCCAUAUGCUCUCUACUUGACCAUCCUGGCAUUUUUGGCUGCGAUCAUUGGUCAGAGGGUUGUGAGGAAGCUAAUUGAUCUGCUAGGGCGGGCAUCGAUCAUCAUCUUCAUAUUGUCCUUCAUGAUCUUCAUCAGCGCGCUCUCUCUAGGCGGAGUCGGCAUCUCGAACACGAUCCACAAGAUCGCGCGGCGGGAGUACAUGGGAUUUGAGAACAUCUGCAAAUAUGGUGUGUAGGAAGCCAUAUCGAAGGUUGUUUUUCGUUGUACGCACUCGCUUCGUACGUACUCUAUGCUACAAUGAGCGGGGGUCCAACCGUUGUUCAGGGUGGUGUGUACGUGGCUGGGACAGGUGGCUACCAAGCAUAUCCACAUCAUCAGCCCCACCACCACCAAUUAUCUUCACAUGUAGACUGACACGAUGAUUUCAGACUUCCACCACCGGCUACUCCAAUGGUGCAGCGGCAAGAGCAUCCCGUUGUCUUCAUUUUAGACAUGAGGUGAAGCUGAAGGAGAAAGUAUCCACUGAAAACUCUUCUUCAGUGGAAGCAUGGAAACCAACGUGUUGGAUUAGAAACGACCGGUGCAGAUGAAUCAAUGUCUGCCCCCCUGCUCAGCUUUGGUAUAUUUGUGAAAAAAACACCCUGGCUGUGCUCUGUCCUACCGAAUCUCACCAGCCCCAAAAUUCUGAAACAGCAGCAGGCUUGCCCUGGUCCUGAUUCCUAUCCUAAACAGUACAAUAUUCAUUUAUUAUCCAACUACCCCUUAUUUGCAUUUGAGCUGCGUCACUUCUUUGGAAAUAUCAUCAUUCUGAUGAUAGACGUUGUGUAUUUCUCGCAUGUAAAAUAUAUUCAGUUUAC